GUCCCUGAGGGGCGAGAAGCCGCCGCGGGGCCGCAGCCCCCCCGGCUUCCUCUGGCGACCCGGGUGGUUCUUCCACGCGGCGGCGGAGCCUCCCCGCGCAGCCCCUCUGUGUCGGGCCCCUCCGGGCCGCCUCCUUUGUGCCCUCUCCCGGCCCAGCGGCGCUGAGGGGGCGGCGCGGCGCGCUGCCCGGCAGGGGGAUGCCGCAGGACGCGGCCAACUGUUGCCGAGAGAGGCACCGGCCGGACGCCGGGUGCGGGGCCAGGUGCGGCCGGGCGCCAGGUGCGGGGCGCGGGGCGGGCCUCGCCUCGCCGGCUCCGCGGGCAGCGCGCCGGGCUCGGUGGCGGCUCGGCGGCUGCCGCGGCGCGGCGCUUCUCGGCUCGGGCGGCUCGGCUGCCGCGGCACUGCGCAGAGCGGCCGCAGCUGCGGGCUUCGCCGCCGCGGUGCCUCGGGUGUCAGUGAGACAAAAGAUGGUGGCGGCGCUUCAGCGGCGACAGUGCAACAAACAUCAUGUCAUAAGCUGUUCUGUAGUGGUAGGUAACCUUUAUUCUACCUGCAACUCUGUUACUUUGAAAAAAGAAUUAAAGAUUAUUUACAGCAGAAGGAAAGACUCUUGCCCUGUGAUCAAGGCAUUCAUGUGA
ensembl:lncRNA